GGGCCCGUGGCGGAAUGGUAUACGCAGGGGUCUUAAACACCCCGGCCGCAAGGCGUGCAGGUUCGAGUCCUGCCGGGCCCACCA
rnacentral:tRNA from 2 species